rnacentral:rRNA from 1 species
CCUACGGGAGGCAGCAGUGGGGAAUAUUGGACAAUGGGGGGAACCCUGAUCCAGCCAUGCCGCGUGUGUGAAGAAGGCCCUCGGGUUGUAAAGCACUUUCAGUGAGGAAGAACGCCUGGUGGUUAAUACCCAUCAGGAAAGACAUCACUCACAGAAGAAGCACCGGCUAACUCCGUGCCAGCAGCCGCGGUAAUACGGAGGGUGCGAGCGUUAAUCGGAAUUACUGGGCGUAAAGCGCGCGUAGGUGGCUUGAUAAGCCGGUUGUGAAAGCCCCGGGCUCAACCUGGGAGCGGCAUCCGGAACUGUCAAGCUAGAGUGCAGGAGAGGAAGGUAGAAUUCCCGGUGUAGCGGUGAAAUGCGUAGAGAUCGGGAGGAAUACCAGUGGCGAAGGCGGCCUUCUGGACUGACACUGACACUGAGGUGCGAAAGCGUGGGUAGCAAACAGGAUUAGAUACCCCAGUAGUC